AACCCUUGACAUCCUCAUCGAGGGCUCCAGAGAUGGAGUCCAUCAGUUCGGCUGGAUGAGUGACAGGUGCUGCAUGGCUGUCGUCAGCUCGUGUCGUGAGAUGUUCGGUUAAGUCCGGCAACGAGCGCAACCCACGUCUUUAGUUGCCAGCAGGUUAAGCUGGGCACUCUAAAGAAACUGCCCGUGAUAAGCGGGAGGAAGGUGUGGAUGACGUCAAGUCCUCAUGGCCCUUACGGGUUGGGCUACACACGUGCUACAAUGGCUGUGACAAUGGGUUAAUCCCAAAAAGCAGUCUCAGUUCGGAUUGUCGUCUGCAACUCGACGGCAUGAAGU
rnacentral:rRNA from 1 species